CAACUUGAGAGUUUGAUCCUGGCUCAGAACGAACGCUGGCGGCAGGCUUAACACAUGCAAGUCGAGCGCCCCUCCUUCAAGCAAGCUUGAAGGAAUUUUCCUUGGAAAGAGAAGAUCAAAAAAGCUUCUUAAGAAGCUUUCUUGAUGGAGGGGAGCGGCAGACGGGUGAGUAACGCGUGGGAACGUACCCUUAUCUUCGGAAUAGCUCCGGGAAACUGGAAUUAAUACCGAAUGUGCCCUUCGGGGGAAAGAUUUAUCGGAUAAGGAUCGGCCCGCGUU
rnacentral:rRNA from 1 species